rnacentral:rRNA from 1 species
UACGGAGGGUGCGAGCGUUGUCCGGAAUCAUUGGGCGUAAAGGGCGCGUAGGUGGCCCGGUCAGCGUGCGGUGAAAGCUCGGGGCUCAACCCCGAGUCGGCCGUGCGAACUGCUGGGCUUGAGCACUGUAGAGGCAGGCGGAAUUCCGGGUGUAGCGGUGGAAUGCGUAGAGAUCCGGAAGAACACCGGUGGCGAAGGCGGCCUGCUGGGCAGUGGCUGACACUGAGGCGCGACAGCGUGGGGAGCGAUCCGG